GACGAACGCUGGCGGCGUGCUUAACACAUGCAAGUCGAACGGUGAACCUCUUCGUAGGGGCUCAGUGGCGAACGGGUGAGUAACACGUGGGCAACCUGCCCCCGGCUCUGGGAUAACUCCAAGAAAUUGGGGCUAAUACCGGAUGUUCACCGCUUCCCGCAUGGGUGGUGGUGGAAAGGGUUUCCGGCUGGGGAUGGGCCCGCGGCCUAUCAGCUUGUUGGUGGGGUAGUGGCCUACCAAGGCGACGACGGGUAGCCGGCCUGAGAGGGUGACCGGCCACACGGGGACUGAGACACGGCCCAGACUCCUACGGGAGGCAGCAGUGGGGAAUAUUGCGCAAUGGGCGGAAGCCUGACGCAGCGACGCCGCGUGGGGGAUGACGGCCUUCUUGUUGUAAACCUCUUUCAGCAGGGACGAAGCGCAAGUGACGGUACCUGCAGAAGAAGCACCGGCCAACUACGUG
rnacentral:rRNA from 1 species